rnacentral:rRNA from 1 species
CCUACGGGAGGCUGCAGUGAGGAAUAUUGGUCAAUGGCCGGAAGGCUGAACCAGCCAUGCCGCGUGAAGGUCAGUGCCCUAUGGGCGUUAAACUUCUUUUGUGCGGGAGCAAUAAUGGUCACGUGUGGCCAGACGAGAGUACCGUACGAAUAAGCAUCGGCUAACUCCGUGCCAGCAGCCGCGGUAAUACGGGGGAUGCAAGCGUUAUCCGGAUUUAUUGGGGUUAAAGGGUGCGUAGGCUGUGAGGUAAGUCAGCGGUGAAAUGCCCCCGCUCAACGGGGUGAAGUGCCAUUGAUACUGCCUUGCUGGAAUGCGGAUGACGUGGGAGGAAUGUGUGGUGUAGCGGUGAAAUGCAUAGAUAUCACACAGAACACCGAUUGCGAAGGCAUCUCACGAAUCCGCGAUUGACGCUGAUGCACGAAAGCGUGGGUAUCAAACAGGGUUAGAUACCCCAGUAGUC